GGAGAAGUGGCCGAGUGGUCGAAGGCGGGCGCUUGGAGAGCGUCUGAGCGGCAACGCUCCGGGGGUUCGAAUCCCUCCUUCUCCG
rnacentral:tRNA from 1 species